CCUACGGGUGGCAGCAGUGAGGAAUAUUGGUCAAUGGCCGGAAGGCUGAACCAGCCAUGCCGCGUGAAGGUCAGUGCCCUACGGGCGGUAAACUUCUUUCGUCCGGGAGCAAUCAUGGUCACGUGUGGCCAUACGACAGUACCGUACGAAUAAGCAUCGGCUAACUCCGUGCCAGCAGCCGCGGUAUUACGGGGGGUGCAAGCGUUAUACGGAUUAAUUGGGUUUAAAGGGUGCGUAGGCUGUGAGGCAAGUCAGCGGGGAAAUGCCCCCGCUCAACGGGGUGAAGUGCCAUUGAUACUGCCGUGCUGGAGUGCGGAUGCCGUGGGAGGAAUGUGUGGUGUAGCGGUGAAAUGCAUAGAGAGCA
rnacentral:rRNA from 1 species